rnacentral:rRNA from 1 species
AGUAAUGUCUGGGAAACUGCCUGAUGGAGGGGGAUAACUGCUGGAGACGGUAGCUAAUACCGCAUAACGUCGCAAGACCAAAGAGGGGGACCUUCGGGCCUCUUGCCAUCGGAUGUGCCCAGAUGGGAUUAGCUAGUAGGUGGGGUAACGGCUCACCUAGGCGACGAUCCCUAGCUGGUCUGAGAGGAUGGCCAGCCACACUGGAACUGAGACACGGUCCAG